GCCACAACAAGCAAGUUCCAGUCAAACUCUGGAGAGUUGCCCCUUUGUAUGGCUGCUUGUCUGAGAGUAAGACACAUCUGCCAUUUCAGACUUCUUGUUCCUCAGAUUCAGUUUCAGGGCAGCUGUUAGACGUAUAUGUAACUACAGUCAAGGCAGCAUGCAGAAACAUCUCCAGUGUGCUCAGUCUCUUUGAAGAAAUGUCUGGGACCCUGAAGCCUUCCCUUUAUACUGAGCCAAUCUUCUGGAAAGUUCCUGCACUUGAGCCUGUGGUCACCAAAACACACAUGCUAUAUGGGAAAUGCGUACUUAAAGAGAGAAGAUUCUGUGUUACAUGACGUGUGCUUUGAAAUGUUCCUGCGACCCCAUCCACCAACCAACCUUCAAAAAUUUUGACCUAGAAUUGUUCCUGUCUAAAAGAAA